GGAAGUGAAAGUCGUAACAAGGUUUCCGUAGGUGAACCUGCGGAAGGAUCAUUAUUGGAUUUUGAAACUUCAGGCUGCUGGCUCUCCUCGGAGGGCAUGUGCACGCUUGUUGUCCAUUAUUUCUCCCACUGUGCACAAAUUGUAGACCUUUCAGUAGGCCUAUGUUGUUUUUCACAAUCUCUGAAUGUAAUAGAAUGGUUUUGAAUCUUGGGAAAUACAAUACAACUUUCAGCAACGGAUCUCUUGGCUCUC
rnacentral:misc_RNA from 1 species